AUGAAAUAUGUGCUGGGCCCGCAAGCGGGGCUCCCGGGUGAGCUUGCCCAGGGUCUGCUGCACAGAGCGCGCCCAGGUAGCUCCUGCUGCGGACACCUCAGGCAGUGUUCUUGUGGUCGAGGCCGGAAGGUGAUGCUGUCAGCACUGGGCAUGCUGGUGGCAGGGAGUGUGGGGCUGACCGUGGCUCCAUUCUGCUGUGAGUGCCAGUGACCUGGAGCUGCAUGCCCCCAGUUAUCCGUGGUCUCACCGUGUCCUCCUUUCUUCCUUGGACCAUACCAGCAUCCGUAGGGGUUUUCGGGUAUGUAAGCAGGUGUGCUCCUCCUGCCACAGCAUGGACUAAGUGGCUUACUGCCACCUGGUGGGCGUAUACUACACUGAGGCUAAAGCUAAGGUGCUGGCUGAGGAGGUGGAGGUUCAAGAUGGCCCCAGUGAAAAUGGGGAGAUGUUCAUGCGGCUAGGAAAGCUGUAUGACUAUUUCCCCAAACCAUACCCCAACCCUGAGGCUGCUCGAGCUGCCAGUAAUGGGGCAUUGGCCCUGACCUCAGCUACACUGUGCGAGCUAGGGGAUGGUAGUGAGGACUACAUCUUCUUCCUGCUCACGGGCUACACUUCGAGCCACCCACCAGGGUGUUACUGCCGAGAGGUCUCUACUUCAACCCCUGUUUUCCUGGCCAGGCCAUUGGCAUGGCCCCUCCCAUCUACACAGAUGUCCUGGAGUUUGACGAUGGUACCCCAGCUGCCAUGUCCCAGGUAGCCAAGGACGUGUGCACCUUCCUGUGCUGGGCAUCUGAGCCAGAGCACGACCAACGAAACUGCAUGGGGCUCAAGAUGUUGAUGACGAGGAGGCUACUGGUACCUCCUCGUACGUGUAGAUGAGCUACACCAUGAAGCGGGCUAAGUGGUCAGUCCUGAAGAAUUGGAAGCUGACAUAG